GUUUGUUGUUGGCUCAGCUUUUUUGUACACUGCUUUGAGAUAUUGUAAAUAUACUAAGUGUUUUAGAAAUUAAAUAAUCAAUCAUCCAAAGGCACUUGCUGACAGAAACAGGCCUGAAGCCCAUGAAGGUAGAAAUUGUAACUUCUCCUUAAAACAAAAACAGUUCCUGACAGGUUUCCUAAGGUAGGACACUAACCCUAAAACAUACCUGUAAAUGGAUGGAGUCCGGUUUUCUAAAUCUCUGACAUAAGCAUGGACCUUCAACUCUCUUCAGUGACCAUUUUCUCUGAGAGAAAAUAGCCUGGAAAUUUCUCUCCAAAGUGUCCAACUGAGCAUGCUCCAAAGUGGAAUCUCAAUUUCUAGUCAGGGGAGAGAGAUGCCUUGGCUUCCCUACAAGAAGAGUGUUGACAGAGAUUCUUUGCCAUUAACAACAUCAUUCUAGGCAAAAAGUUAAUGCAGGUUGUGGAGAAAGUUGUAUAGGUGUCUGCUUAGGUUCAUUGCUGUGAAGGAAGAUAUAUUCUGUGACCUCCCUGAGUGUCAGGAGGCCUUAUUUUGGCCGGAUGUUACAAGCCUGUUUUAGAAGUGGUUGCUAAGUGACCACUUGUGGCAGAGUGGGGUUGCUUUAAGCUUUAGUAGCUUGGAUCUGGCAGAUUUCAGUCUGUUUAGCUGGAGGCUCCAGUCAGUUGGAGGGGCAACAUUCAGUUGGGGGUCAAUUAUCAAAAAGAGAGAGAGAGUGAGAGUUGGGAAUUGGUUGAAGUGAGGAGGAGUGGAAGUAAAUUCGUGGGGGUAGAAAAUUAAGCUUGAGAUAGUAGCUGUGGCUCUUAAGUCUGUGGAAAUUGCCACCUAGCACUUUGAUGCCCAAUAUAGGUUUCCAUUUCCCCUUAGGUAUCUAAAAAUCCCCUUAAUAAAACAAUUUAAAUUUACGCUAGAGGAGGUGUUCUUCUUAUACCCGAGCCUAACUAGGUGUAGGAUUGCAAAGGUUGUGAAGCGCUCUGUUAUGAGCCCUGAGGAGAUGACCUGGAGGGGCUGGUCAGAUCAGGAUGAGGGGUGCAAGGAGCUCAAAGAGUUGCUGGCUGGCGAUCCUGGGGAGGGACCAAGCAGGCUGGGGCAUCAGGGAAGAAAAAUGGAGCUUUCCCCAAGUGUAAGAGGCUGCUGAUACCAAGCACAGGAGUGGCUCCAAACAUUCAUACCGUAACACCGUGGGAAAGCAGGUAUAGGGUUGCAGCCUUCAAUUAUUAGUUUGACUACCUAUCUUAUUUUAGGAACCUGCUUCUUGAGAAAUGGCCCUACCACCACAAGUUAUACCCUGCUCUGGUACUAGCACCAAGCAUAAGUUCAUCUACUUUUAUGCCUCCCUCACACUGUGCAGGAAGGGGUUACUUUCCCUUCAGUUCUAUGGUACAGCAGUCCUGCACAAGCAUAUACCAGCAAUUAGAUUUCAUAAAGGAAGGGAUCCAUUUUUCCUGGGACACACUCCCAAGGCAUUCAGUUACUUGCAGCAGUGCAAGUUACUACUUGUGGUGUUGCAACAAGAGCAAAUCACAGAGUAUGGGGGUCCACUUAAUAUUUAUAUUUAAUAUUUAAAUCAGGUUUCCACAGCAUGCAAAGGUAAGAAUAUGUAUAUAUUUGUUUAUUUGUAUAGCACAAAAUACACAUCCCACCUUUUGCUCUGAAAUGAUCUAUAUCGUUGACUCUAUGAGGCAGCUUGGAAACGAUUUUAAAGCUCCAUAGUACACAUAAAAAGAACAACACCACCACCCCACAAUAACCAUGAGAAUAAUUAGUUAAAUAAUCUGGUGGGGAAAGCAAAAGAGAAGCAGAGAGACAUUACUAGAGGUUCUCAAAGACCCUCCAGAAAAAGAACUACCUGCAAUGUCAAAACGCCAAAAAAGAAACCCUCCCUUCUCUGAGAGGAAAUUGCAUUAUCUCAGUGCUCACGGUGAAAAGGCACAAUCACAAGCAUCUAUCAUCCUCCAAAGCAAAAUCUCGGGGAAAUCUCUGGACAUAGGUAAGUUCCUAUGAGUGCGUUCGGUACUUGUGGUAUUUCAUGCAAGUCUAGUUUCCUACACUUUGGAAAAAGGAACAUGUAAAGUAGAUGGGCUAGUUUAGUCGUGACACAUCAUGUGGGUGAUUAAGAUGCCCCAAAGUGACAAAGCUAAUCUUAAUGCCUAGUUCAACUACUUAAAUUUGGAACACGAAAAUACAAAUCAACACAUUCUACUAAAAGAGCAGGGAAGCCAGUCCUUAGGUCACAUUGUCUAGAGACUGACCAAGUUAAAGAUUACAGAUGAAUAACAGAACAUUUGUUUUAGGAGUAUACAUGAAGAGAUGUAGUGGUCUCUGCUGGCAAGUACUGAGGAACUAAGUGACUUCGGUCUUAAGAACCCUCAAGUCUGCAUGAGUUCACAGACUGCUUUGAACAGUACAUGAUCUGAUAAUUAGACACUUUUUGUACAAAUUUCUAAGAGGUUUUUCACAUGCUUCCAUCAACUAAAUAAUAUAGUUUCAGAAAUCACCCAUUACAGUGUAUUACAUUAUCAGUUACUAGAAUUUUGCCUUUUUAUUAUUAUUAUUCCGACUUCUUUCAGUUACUGUCUUCGGCUUUGACUCCACAGUAUGAAUAUGUAGUGAGACAGAUCUAUAUAUACUUAUUUUACACAGAUGAUCUUAUACCCUAUAUAAAAAGCCCCUCCGAACUCUGAAUAUUUUCCAACGUUUACUUAAAUGUAUUAAUAACUAUAAUUCUAAAUCAGAUUUUAAGUAAGUAUUAUCAGAUGUUCUGGCAUUGCUGACAUUUUCACAAGGAGACAAAUCUCUAGAUUAAGAGACUAAACAUUUUUGUUCCAUUUAUAGUCAGAAGACUUAUUCAAAAGAAAAGGAGGGGGGAAGCCACAUGGACACAAAGUCUCACAUAGUCUUCCUGCCUCCAAAUAUCUUUGACAUUUAUGUCCCUAAAGACUUCUGAACAUUAUCAUAUUUAUUGCAUGUUGGCAGUUAUCAGCAUCUCAGGCAUUGGUGGGGGGGGAUUUAUGUUACUAAAUCAUAUACACUAAUACCAAUGAGAUUACUAGACCAGUUAAAACCAGAUGCUGGUAUCCAGAUUUCACCCAUUAUAAACAUACACUCACACACAUAUAUCAAGGAACCUUCAGUUGAGCCACUUGCAAUUCACUCAUGCACUGUAAAGCAUGAAAAUGUAAAAUCCUUCUGUGUCAUGUAAGCAGCAUGCAUGUUCUAUAAUCUCAUACAUCAUGCUCACAUACAAUUUAGCCUUCCUAUGCCCACACUUUCCUUUGGCCUAAAAAGCCAGGGAUGUUGGCCCUGACCUGAAGUGGCUGCCAUACAACCUGCUCCCUUGUAACCAUUGAUACUCAAGCCACACACCCCAUGUCAUAACAAUGUAUUGUCCCUGGGUAAAGAGGGGCAAGCAGGCAGGUCUCGCUUGGCAGUACACAGGAGCAUGGUUGGGUUUUUUUUUUGAAGGCUUGGUUCUUUAUGCAGUACCUUUGGAGCAUUCUCAGUGUAGGUAUACAUAGAAGAAGCAAAGUCCUUGAGUAUGAAAAAUGUGGGAAAUGACUGGUUACACAAUGCUGUGCAAAUAUUGGAAAGGACAAGGAACCAUUUUGAAUGGAGGCUUUCUGUGGUCGAAGUGCUGCCAAAGUCCUUCACCUUGUAAGUGAUGACAUGAAAAGAUUUAUGAUAUAUGCACAUGCAAGCAAACACUCAUAACCAUAUAAGAAUUUAUGCUUAAUUCUUUUCCGUGUGAAAACCAUCACAUGAAUUAUGAUGAUGAAAACUAAACCUUUGGAGACCCAGGAACUCAUAACUCAAAGUUACUAGGAUCCCUAAACUGAACAAAUAUUUCAAGAAUCCAACUGUGGUUUGAGAGAACAAGCAGCCAUUACUCUAUCAGGCUAAAGCAUCAUUUAUGGAGGUAUUACCCUUAGGGAAUCACUGAACCCACUUCACAUAGUUCCAUUAAUCCAUAGCAUUUGUGUAUCAUUACUAGAUUUAAAAAAACAGAACAAUAUAUGUAGAUUAUGGUGGUUAAUAGGGCAUCUGCUAUAGCUAGGAAUACAAAGCCAAUAGAGCACAUUUUCAUGUUACAUUCCAAUAAAAGACAAAAAAUGGGGGAAAGUUGUUUAUAAUGAUACAUCAUCAUGUUUUGAUAUUAGCCAUGACUAUACUGUAUACCACCAAAUUGUUUCUGUGCACAAAUAUGCUAUAUAUUCCAAAAUGAACUUUACACAGUUUUAAAUUUAAGCAAUCAAUCAAAUGUAUCGCUACAAAGGCCAAAGAAGUCCAAAAAGAUUCUGAGUAGCAUUUCACUGAAAUAUUUAUACAUCUAAUAUUGCAAUCUAUUGCAUUUUCCACAAAAAAGCAAUGCACUUGCCAUAUCUGAAAGAGGAAGUAUUUUGCUAAAAUUCACAACUCUGAGAAGCACUCCCUUUUAGCAACUAUUGGGAGAGCUUCAAAGCGGCACACAAAUGUUUGCGCAAGAGGGGAGUGUCCCCAUUGCUGAAGAAACCAGGUUGAUCGAUAGCGGACAUAACUGAGCAACAGGGACCCUCCUUUAUCCACAGCAAUUUAAACUGAGGGAGGAUAAAAGCCUUUUGUAAAGCCAUCUUAACAACAGCCACAUGAAGGGAGAAGGCAUAGCGAAAUAAGAUUACUUUUAUUAGACGUGAAUUCUUCAGAACAUACGUUUUCCUUUUUCAGUACAGAGCCAAAUUAGUUUCCUCAUCAUUUUCAUUCUAAUGGUAAAAAUAAAGACUCAGCUUCAAAAUUAUUUUAUAUUCUGAAGAAAACUUUUUAGCAAACAAGAAUCUGUGUUUGUCUGGUUGUAGACAAACCAGCUAGAGAAUACAUUCUGCCAGUGCAACAUGCCGUAGUUAUGGCAUACUGUUGCUUUAUCAAGAAUAAAUACAGAAAAUUUAAAGCCAAAGCCAAUCUGAGCACUGGACAAGCAUUUUUAUAAAAUUUGGGACAGGGUGCCUAACUGAAACAGAUUUGACCUGGUGAUUCUACAGUUCGGAGGGUACAUUAAACUCAUUAAAGUUCUUCCCUAUGGAAGUGAUAGGGAUGUGUUUACAGUCUAAGCCACUUUUGCAUACAUUCACCCAUGAUCCAUCGGGCUGAUCCAUUGGUCUUUCAUAUUAAAUGUGAUUUUUAAAAAAUCAUAUAAAUUUGCAUUAAAAUACAUAAUUUAAAACCUGCUCACUUUCAAGAUAUGCAUGUUCUAUCCUUUCAUUCAUCUGGUAGGUGCAGAUCAAGUCAAUUCAAACGAGAAAUGUGCAAAGACUGAAUUCCUCAAGCAUCACUGGCUGCGAUUUCCAACAGUGGUAUGUACGGCAGUAGAAACCUUGAUAUCCAGCAUCAGAAACCACACCAUACAUUUAAAACAUUCAUACCACUUUGUAAGUCAUGGCUUCCCCCAAAGAAUCCUGAAAACCGUGGUUUAUUAAGGGUCUCCUAACAACUCUCAGUGAACUAAACAAGCUACAGUCCCCAGGAUACUAUGGGAAAAGCUUAAAUGCAUGGUGUGGAUGUAGUGGCUCUCAGUUGAAGACCUCUGCAUUAUAAUGGUUAGGUCCUGGAAAAAACUAGUCCUCGGAGGACACUGUACUGUGUGGGACUAAGAGCCUCUUGACAAAUCUAAGCUUCCGCUGAAGUUGGAGAGAACAGAGGAUCCUAGGAAACUAUAUGGCAAGGCUGCAAGAAGUACAUCACGACUCUUCAGGAAAAAAGGAGCCAUUCAAUGACUCCAGUGUACAGGGAAAUAAGUUUUAUCACUAUAAUAACUCAAGUGUACAGCAUAAAGGCAGGAACUCUGGUUUGCCCGUUUCUAAAGGAAGAAUUUGUUCUGGGCGAUACAGACCUAAUUAAAAAUAAUUCUGGCUUCCCUUCAAUAUUCUGGCAGAUUUUGUUUUACAUUAAAAGGUCUGCUAUAAUGGGAAUCUACAAAAUAAGCUUGAAAUAUGACUCACUGCUAUUGUUUUCUCUGGUUUUUCCUCAGCUUCCUAUCCUGCCCCAUUUCCCUUGCUCACAUGAAUGAAACACACUGAUGGAAAGAUCAGGGCUUAAAAAGAUGUUGGUUGUAUAUUCUGAGUAAUGGAUUGCAAUUAUCUCACACUGCAGUGCACUUUUUAAAAAAUUAAAAUAGGUUAGGUGUUGGUUUCCACUUUAGUUUAUAGAAACACAUGGAGAUGGCUUAUGCAAAGGAAGACCACUGAGCCAUCUAGUGCAGUCCUUUCCACUCCAAAUAUCAGUAGCUCCCUAGAGGUUCAGCAGGGAUCCUGUGCAGACUGUUUAAAUUGGGCUGUUAAAAUUUUCAGGAAUUAUAAUGUAGAAGAUGAGCUCUGCCAUUAAGCUUAUGGCUCCUCCCUAAAAUACUAAGCUACCUUCACUAAAUCAAACCAUUGGUCUGUCUUGCCGAGAGAUAAGAACUAUAAAUCUAAACAAUGUAUUUAGCAAUACAGGUAUCAUUUUAAUCAAAUCAUCCUCAAAGCUAGAAAUGUACCCCCAAAAAGUCAUCAGUAAAAAUGAGUUAAUAACUGUGCAACCACCAGUAAAAUCCAAUAAAAUUUGAAUGAUCCCUAAGUCUUCAGGGUUAUUCCUAUUGCAUAUCCUGAACUUCUGUCUCUGAUCCCAGUCAGAACUCUGACAUGCAUGUAGUUGCUGAUGCUUCCUAAAGCAUGUGAGUACCAAAGAUGGAUACUGAGAGUGGUUAUUUACAGAGGGUGAAAGUGCCAUUAAUUAGAUGGCUGGAAGGGCACAGUGAACUGUAGUACGUUUCCCACUAAAUACAUAUAUGUGGCUAUCUGAGUAAUUUUAUAUCUCCUCCAAGGCACUAGAGAUUAUAAACAUUAAAAGAUAGACUGGAUUCUUACUAAGUAGUACAUCCCACUGAACGCAGUAGGACUUUUAAGUAAAUGCAUUUUUACACUUUGGUCUUAAAAUGAAGUCUUCUGGAAUCAAAUAUAAAAAUGGGCACCUACGUAACACAGCUUUUGAAGAGGCAUGGGCUGACACCUAGUGGAAUCUGCUAUGGAAACUAAGCAAACAAAUUUUUAAUGCAAUACUUAAUUUUCUUCACACUUUUAGUUGAUUUGAAGUGUUUGAGGAUUCUCCAUUCACCUAUAUCAGAAAUUAAGAUGGAAUUCUACCCCUUUAAAAAAAAAUCUGUCCCCAGUUAUGUGGAAUGCUACUCUGUAGCAUUCUGUCUGUAGUUGAUCCGUGUGAUCUUUCCUGCCAAUGAUGGGAGAUGGAAACAGCAGUGCCCACGGAUAAAGAAGUGAGAGUUAUACAAAUAAUUGGUUUUAAUAUAAUUUUACAACUGACUUAAACAGCACUAUGCAACAAAAAUGCAAAAGUGUUGAAAAUGAAUUAGCACAGCCCUUAUUGACUUUUCCCCAGACUCCGAAAUAUUGAUUCCUAUGCUUUUAUCAUUGAGAUAAAUGUAUGGACGGUUUCUGCUCAGAACAGGAACUGAUCAUCUGUGCCAGGUGCCAAAUUCACCUUUGUCUGCUCACAACAUCCUCCCCUGCCCUAGUGGGACACUUAUGCACCAGGUGAUUUUUCAAGUUGAAAUAUAUUAGAAAGAGAUGGUGGGAGACAAUGCACAACCUCCAUAGUCCUCAUUUGUCAUGAGGGAUGUAGCAGAAUGCACUUUCCAGUCUGAAACUCUGGACUGCUGCUGCCACUGCAGACAAACAAACCUAAAUGGUCCAAUGGCCUGACUCAACAUAACAGCAGCCCAAAACCUGAAGAGCACCAGGUGUUGUGUGGUGCAGACUAUACUGAUCUAGAAAAACCUAUGUUUCAUUUCCCUGUCUGCUGCACAGCCUCUCCCUGAACCAGGAUAGCUGUGUGACCAUGGGUGUGGGAUCUAGUAGACAGGCAUUAAUGGUGGGAGGGGGCAGGUGCAGUUUCUGUUGACUGCUGUAUUGCCCCAUGCAAAAUUAUCAUUAACUCCAAGUGAUUGUGCAGUUGGGGGCAAAAUCUAAGCCAGUUUAUGGACUGCAGAGUACGGCUAACAGUGCAAUGAGCUAGUGGAUCCAGCUGCUUUUCAAAAGGAAAGAGUCUGACAGCCAUAAAUCCGAACCAAGUUCUACGCCAUUUCAUUAUAAUGUCCUUUUUUAGUGCAGGAUUCUAUCACAUGGAUCUGAUAUAUGUGAGCAUCCAGAACUGUGCAAAUUAGAAUACACAUGUAAAGAAAAUAAAUGCUCAUUCAAGUACAGGCCAUAAACUCACUGGAAAGAGGUGAGCAUAAAACAAACACAUCUGUGAACAAACUCGGUGCCCGUGUGACUAUAAAAUGCUUUUAACUAUACUCACAGAUUUACACCAUUUCACUUUAGACUUUGAAAUGUAUGCAUUGUAAUCAUGAUGAAAGGGAAUGUGCCAGGUGAGGUUUACAAUCCAAAUAAGUCAACCACCGCCAACUUGCCUCAUUUAAUAUAAGGCAAUAGUGCCACCUAAAGCUGAAUAGCAGUAUAUGUACAUGUAUUUGUUGGUUUUUUAAACUUAACUCCUUUAUUUGGAGCAAGUAAAAUGUCAGAGUAGUGAGCAAGCUUUCACUCCUCUUCAGGCAGGAUGGUAACAUAAGGACAUCCAUGCUGGGUCAGGCAAAUAGCCCACCUAGUCUAGUAUCCUGUUUGCACAGUGGCCUACCACCAGAUGCCUAAGGAAGGAGGUGAGCACCACAAACAUGGCGCUUCCUUAAGCACAGUGGCUAUUAAGCACAAACAGGCAGGUGGUAGUGGUGAUGGGGAGAUUGCCUGGCCUCAUAAAAGAGCCAAUUUGCAGUUUAUAAUAGCAUUAGAGUAGGGGUCAGGUAGGUGUGCAGUAAGUGCAAAGAUGGUCUUCAGUUGCUACAAAGACUAAUGGGGAGAAAUGAGCCAUUGCUGCGCUUCUUUCAAAAAUGUAACACCAUGGCUUAUUGAGAUAUUUUUCUAACAGUUGUCAGAACACACUGAUCCUUUCUAAGCCAGAGAGCAAAGAAAAAAGAAAAAGAGAGUCGUUCUAACAUUUACAAAGUUGAAGAUUAUUAUUAGGUAGUGUACAAGGCAAAGCAUCAAUACCAACUGGGUAUUGCUUACUUUUUCUCCCACAGGCAUUAUUAGGUUAUAGGUUUUCUUUCUCAAGUUCUAGGACAUUGUCGCCUUAGACAAAAGACUCCUAUGUCUGUAUAACAUCUCCACUCAAUUUUUAUGCCAUUAUAAAUUCUAACAGGGAUUUGUCACCACAUGUGACAAAAUCUUCUCAACCUGACCGUACCCGCUUCAUAUUGCUUCAUAUUUAGCUUCAAGAAAAUUCUGGUGAACUCAAAAGCUUCCUCACUACUUUGUAAUUUUUUAAGGUGAUCUUAAUAUUACACUACUGUUGUCCCACCCCCACCCUCCAAGUUAAUCUAAUGGACCAACCUGCAUUUUUUAUUUCUUCCAUAUUUCCUCCAGCCAUAGAAGUCUUCAUAAGAGAUGUUUGAGGGGAGACAUUGUGCUGGCCAUCAGGCAAUGGCUUUUUUCACCUGCCAUGCCCCUCCCUCCAGCCCUAGGAGUCUUUCUCAGACCAUGCCGUUAGGAACAGCAGAAACAGCUGGGAAGAGAGAAAGGGAAUUCAUGGAUACUUUUUUUAAAAAAAAUAAUUUUAUAAGUUAUGUGUCUUUGAAUCUCAGUUUGUAUUGUGUUAUUUUAUGCACUGUGACUUAC